rnacentral:rRNA from 1 species
AGAGUUUGAUCAUGGCUCAGAACGAACGCUGGCGGCAGGCUUAACACAUGCAAGUCGCAGGAGAAGGAGACUUCGGUUUCCGGACACUGGCGGACGGGUGAGUAACGCGUGGGGACCUACCUCGGGGUGGGGGACAACCACUGGAAACGGUGGCUAAUACCGCAUACGCCCUAAGGGGGAAAACUCCGGUGCCCUGAGAUGGCCCCGCGUCGGAUUAGCUUGUUGGUGGGGUAACGGCCUACCAAGGCGACGAUCCGUAGCUGGUCUGAGAGGAUGACCAGCCACACUGGAACUGAGACACGGUCCAGACUCCUACGGGAGGCAGCAGUGGGGAAUAUUGGACAAUGGGGGCAACCCUGAUCCAGCCAUGCCGCGUGUGUGAAGAAGGCCUUAGGGUUGUAAAACACUUUCAGCGGGGAAGAUGAUGACGGUACCCGCAGAAGAAGCCCCGGCUAACUCCGUGCCAGCAGCCGCGGUAAUACGGAGGGGGCUAGCGUUGUUCGGAAUUACUGGGCGUAAAGGGCGUGUAGGCGGUUUGCCAAGUCAGAUGUGAAAGCCCCGGGCUUAACCUGGGAACUGCAUUUGAGACUGGCAGGCUAGAGGUUGGAAGAGGAGAGUGGAAUUCCCAGUGUAGAGGUGAAAUUCGUAGAUAUUGGGAAGAACACCAGUGGCGAAGGCGGCUCUCUGGUCCACACCUGACGCUGAGGCGCGAAAGCGUGGGGAGCAAACAGGAUUAGAUACCCUAGUAGUCC